GUCAUCCAGGAUGAACCCAAAUGUUGCCGCUCGCUCUGUGAGGUCAUCGCUCGCCCGCCUGGAGACCAGCGCUCGCUGGGUAAUCAAUUCUCCAGCAUCCAAUCGAGCCACCACUGACUUGAGGAUCUCUGUGGUGACAGACGGCAGUGCCCCGCUUAUCGUAGUCCUCGCCAAUGCUGGUGUAGAUACGAGGAAGCUGGCUGGCCACGGGACGGAGGAGGAUGCGAAGUGCGAUGCUGACGUUCUGCAAGUCUUUGCUACCAGUGAUGACCGGUGCAUUCCGUGGUUGAGAGCGGCAGUCAAAGAUGAUUGACUUCUGUACCCAAGGGAUGAGAAAGUGAGUCCCGUCUCCUACCACAAUGUCCUGUACGCCACAGAAUCGGUCGAAGAUGACAGCACUGUGUUAUAUAACAUCCACGUUAUAUAAAGCAGAGUUUACUGUGCCUCCUGCAACUGCUAACGCCAGGCUGAACUUUCCGAUGGACUCAAACACUUUGGCAGCCAUGACUCCUGUUGCUUCCACUCGCCCCUGUUUCCACUUCCACAUGAAUUCCCGCUCCUAUUAUUUUUAGAAAAGGAAAUGGGCACAUGUGACCUAUGUACCUUUCAAUAUUAUUUCAAGUAAUUUGGAGCCACCGGUCACUGCGUCCUGCUUUGUAUCCUUCGAUCCUCUUCCUGCUAUGAGCCAGUGUGGUGCUCACGACAAGAGUCUGCUUUGUGGGGCUGUUUCCCUUCAGCAUCACAGCUCAGAGGCAGAGGCAAGACUGUGCAGGGAGGCUGGGAUUAAGCAGAGGUCAGCCGUGGUCCCAGAGGACUGCUGCCAUGCUUCCCCCUCGGCACAGCCUCAUUGCCAACAGCCACCUCUUACUCAGAAUGGCGACUGCCUUUUCUACCGCGAUGUCUGCUACCACUUGUGUUCUAUUUUUUAGCAUUCAUCUAUAUGUAUGUCUCCAUGUACGUAUGUUACUAGUGAGCGGGUACCCACAAAGGCCAGAAGAGGGCGCACGAUCCCAGGAGCUGGAGUCGCAGGCGGUUGUGAGGCGCCCUAUGUGAAUGCUGGGAACCAGCCCCAGUCCUCUGGACAUGCGCAUGCUCUCUUAACUGCCCGGCUGUCUCUCAGUUGCUUUAGUUCUGGGAGGCGUCGGUCUCAAUCCAGAAUUGUGGAUUGCUGUCUAUAUGCAGGUGAAAGCAGUCGCAAGAGAAGACAAGGCCUGUGAUUGGGCAGUGAAAAAGCAAGGCAGGCACAGAGUUUUGGCAAGAGGGUUGGGAGAAAGAAAGAGAAGAACCAAGAUGGAGGACGAGAAGGACGACCCAGAUCUGUGUGGUCGUAAAGGGUCACAGGAUUUUCUUCCGACAUAUUUUUAUUGAUUCCUUGGGAACCUCACAUCAUGAAAUCCUGAUCCCACUCACUUCCCAGCCCUUCUAUGUCUGCACACCCCCUGUGACCUCCCUCCCCAUCAAAAAGAAAAAGAAAAAAAGGGAGCCCAGUUCGUGUUAUCUACGUAUUAACUGGAUCAUGGUCAAACUCUCAGCGGCCUGCCCUUUAAACGGAACUGAGUCCUCCCCUCCUGCACUCCCGUCCCAGAAGCCAUCAGUUGUGGAGAUCUACGUUUUGGCAUCCUUUGCCACACUUUAAAAGAGUUUUCGUUGAUGGCUUCCCAGUUAGGCUGUUACUUCGGGGGGUGCUGUUGAGGUAGGGUGGGGGUUGUCAGAGAAGCCUUCCAUGUCCCUCUGAGUUGACGGUGCAUCAGCAGCCAUAGCAUCACUGCCAGAGUAGCUCUUUGCUCUUUAACGUCAGUGGGAGCACGGCCCAUGGUUUCUAGUGACAGCACAGACUAUAAACACAGCCCCUGGAGGCCAUAGGACCACAGACACAGACAAAGCCCUGGGAAGGACCCCAGGCCAUAUAUCAACACGGCCUCAGGUGGCAGCACAGAUUACAAACAUCCGAAUGGUAACACGGACCUCCAACAUCAAUGAAGAUCCUGGCUGCACUAGGGCCCUGGACCAGGCUUCUUUAUUUUUUUUAAUUCCAGAAAAUUCCACUAGAAUACACGGUCUAACGAGCACAGGGUCUUCUCUGUUGUUUUCUUGUAAACUAGAACAUGGGUGAGCACAUAGUAGGUCCACCACAAAUAUUUGAAAAACAAGUGAUCUCUCUUAACAUAUAUAUAUAUAUAUGUGUGUGUGUGUAUAUAUAUAUAUCAUAUACAUGUAAAAGGCCAUUGAAUCAUUCAUUUGACAUUUAUUUUCUGCUCAAUUAUGAAUAGACUAUAUCUGUAGGUAUGAGAGAACAUUUAAUAUAUUAAUUUUUAAGUAUACUUAGUUUUAAAGUAUAUGAAAUAAAAUAAGGGAACAGAAAAGGAAAGAAAUGCAAUAAAUUUCAGGUUGGGCACCUCCAAUUAAAGUUGAUUAAACAUUAAAUUCAGUCUUUACCUCACGAAUGUGGCAAAUAUAAAGUACAUUGCAUUUUAAUUUUUGGUGUUUGAUAACUAUAAUUUGUAUUUUCUAUAGGAAUAUAUAUUCUCUGCUAUGGGGGUCUAGAGCGGAUUUUUUUUACAUAAAAUGCAUAAAGUAGUUUAUUAUGAACACCCUCUUGGAUGGUGGUUUUAUGAGCCAUAGAAAUUAAAGCAAGAGCUUACUUAGCAAGCUCUGGGAAAGAGCCACACAUUGUACUGGGAACACAUCUUUCUCUAUUGACGCUGCCAGAGCAGACCACAGAGAACCAAGCAAGAUCGACAGAUAGUGUCUUUCUGUAGCUUUGUCCUGAUGCUCUAGAGCUAAUGGAGUCCACUCUGUCACCAUCACUGCCCACCACAGUGGGUGGCAUUUCUCACACGCCCUCCCUGCCUGUAUCUGGUGUGCCUUGGAGGUCAGAAGGGCUGGCAACCAUUGCACUCUGGAGCAAGGUCAAUCCAGUUCCCUCUCACAGGGGAGAGCGGUUUUGUUGAUGGUUUGUUUCCACUUUGAGUUUGACACAGAGUAACAGUUUGUGGUGCAAACUGGCCUUGACAUGCACCAGCCUCCUGUUUCUCACUCCUGAUGCUGGGAUUAUAGGUGGAUGUUGUCUCCACACCUCUCUUCCUUUCAUUGAUUUUAGGCAUUGCACAGCACGGGGGCUCCAGAAGCCAUUCAGCAGUGCUUGCCACAAAGCUUCUCAAAAGAAAGCCCCUGCUUAUCUGUGGCUAGCACUUCCCAUGGUUCCCCGGAGUGAGUGGGAGGAGUCUAAAACCAUCUCCUUUUAUCUAGAGCUUCCUCAAGUACUUGUACUUCCUACUGGAAGCCUUUUGCCAGUUUGAAGUCAGCAAUUAAGAUGUGCCCACUUUUCACGAGAACUAGUACGUGUGCUGUGGGUGGCAGGGGGCGGAGCUUUCGUAGUGGGCGCUGUCGGAUGCAUUCACACACAUGGGAAUGUGGAACCUGUCUAGCAGACUCCAAACGCCAGCCCGCAGGCGGGAGCCACCCUACCAGCUGCUGCUGCAAAGGAUGCUUCUGUGGAUGACUGUCUGAAACCAUUUAUUUACUUGUUACGGUCUGUAGCAUUUCCAAGCUGUCGUGGUGCGGCUCCAGCUGUGGAAAUGAUGUUGCCUGCAAGCUUAAACUACUGACUAGCUACCUGGGGGGCGGAGGGGCGGGCUGUCAGUCUCUGUCUUUGAACACAGGUUGUCUAAAGUGGCUGCACACUAAAAUUGUCUGGAGAGUUCUAAAUGUACAAGGUGGUUUUUCCAUUUUGGACCAAUAAUUCAGCCUGUUCGGUCGGUUUGUUUUAGAGACAGGGUCUCCCUCUGUAUCCUAGACUUGCCUGAACUCAUUGUGAAGACCAGGAUGACUUCGAACUUGUAGGAUUCUCUUGCCUCUGCCUCCUGGGUGCUGGGAUUAUAAAUGUGGGCCAUUGAAGUCUGCUGAGACUUAAAAAAACACACAAACAACAACAGAAAAGCUUUCUGCGAAACAGAAGCCUCAGUGAGGUUUCCUUUGUUGUAAGAAGACACUAUGACAGAAAAUAGCACAGGACGAAAGGGUUCAUUUCAUCUCGAAACCUGUCGUCCAUCAUCCAGUGAAGUCAGUCAGGGCAGGAAGUCAAGCAGAGCGGAACCUGGAGCAGCAGCUCAUGGAUAUGUCACAAAGGCUUGCUCCCCACGGCUUGCUCAGCUUGCUUUCUUAUAGCAGCUAGGACCAGCGGACCAGGGAUGGACCAGCCCACAAUCAACUGAACCACAUCAACCAUCUAUCAAGAAAACGCACCGCUGACUUGCCCACACACGGAUAUGGUGGGGACAUUUUCACACCCAAGGAUCUCUCUUGACUCUACAUCAUAUGAAGUCUCGAAACAAACCAAAGCAGGAUGGCUGGGAACCAUCAUUCGAGACCAGUGGCUCCUCAAAGGGGCUAGUGUUAGAAUCACCUGACAGGAUUUACACUCCCGGCCUGUAUUUCCAGCGUGGUUGUGUAUGCCUUGUGGAGACCCCAGGGAUCUCUACCUAUCCCCCAGUCUCCUGACACUGACACCCAGGGGCUUCUUAUUCCAGGAGUAACAGACCAUACUCCACCUAACUUCAUAGAAACUUUCUGGAACAUUCUGCAUCACCUCAGGUGCUCAUAGCCUGGACCCCCAGGGAAGAAUCACGAUUACAAGGUACAGCCAGUACUUUUUUUUAUCAAUGAGACCGAUAUCACAGUCAGAAGAAAAUGUUUCCACACAUCCUGACGUUCCCCUCUGGUUGGAACGUUGUAAUGGUCAUAAAUGAUAGAAACACAAGUUCCCCAGAGCCUUUCAGAGCCUUUGUGUUUGUGCUUGCAAGUGGCUUUGAUGAGCUGAAAAGGAGGCUGGAGUAGCUGCUGCACUUGUAAUCUGUAAUGCCCGCAAGGGGGUCAGGUUCUCUGUACGUCAGAUGGGCUACCAGGCUCAUUUUCCUCUAAGUGUAGUACUAACAAUUGAUCACCUCAUUUCUGGGGUAUCAGCGUACAGGGACAAGAUUUUCUGCCCAGCUUAUGGUAACUCUCUGCCUGCCUUAGGGAGUCUUAAAUCAAUAGUUCCUACGAUCACUUCCCUUCUUACAUUUGCAGAGUCCGUGUGAACGUGUGUCUCACUGAACCACUCUUCCGUGUUCUUUGGGUAUUACUAAAAUAAACGAGAUUAAAUCAAUAGACAA